rnacentral:lncRNA from 1 species
AUAUUCUCCAGUGUCCGGCCAGUGUCAGAUUUCCCUGGUUGUCCCGUAAAAUGCUCUCGGUGUGUUCAAGCUGGGGCCACAUUCAGUCUGUUCCCUGCCGCCGGUCGACGCGUCUCUUUUAGGGAACAGGGUGUCUCCGCGUCUGUCUCUCCCUGGUUCUGUCUCCCUCCCGGCAGCGCAUCUGGUGAUUCUGCGACCGCUCACCCAACUCUCGCCGCGUACACCCCGGAGUCCUCGGCACCUUACCUGGAUCACAGACUUCACUGCGAUGGAUGCAGUCGCCGCCGCCUCGCAGAGCCUCCAGGAACCCGCCGGCCCGGGAGCACUUGUGAGGGACCGAUUUCCAGCCCCGAGCAAGACAGGGACACUCGCUCCUUCCCACCAAAGCCUCACACAGGUUCUGGAAGGGUCAGAGAGCAUUUCUACAGGCGGGCGGUGGCUCUGGGUGCUGUCCCUGGAGACCGUGGGAGACCCCCAGGUCCAUCCCCAAUGCCCCCCCGCCGGGAUGCAUCAGGAAACGCUGCCACCAGCUCCGGCCGGGCCACUUGGGCAGGAGGAUGCUCCCAUCUUGCAACACGGCUUGGCCCCAGGAUAAGCCGGAGGGCGGGGAGGUCUGGCCAUAAAGGGGUGGUGUUCGCCGUCACGCGGGGCCGCGUACGCCAGCCCCUCUGUCCUGCCUGCAUGGCCCCCAGGGGCGACCCCCCACGGACGCAGGGCCCCAGAGGAGGGACGGCACAACCCAAGCCCCAGACGGCGCCGCUAGCCCCGGCCCCCCCAACCCGCCACCCAACACUCCCCGGGCCUGACGCGGACGUUCGAUCUCGCCUGGAAGGCUGCCCGGGGGCCUCGCGCCCUCCGCCGUGACCCGGGGCUUCUGCACCUGCUCCGCCGGGCUGCCUGCCACCCCCGCACCUGCCGGGGACCUCAGAUGGCUGUGUCUCCGGGAGAGCACGGAGGGCUGUGUCACCAGGCCAGCGAGCUGUGUGACAGGAGGGGAAUCCCGUCCUCUUCCGAUCCCCCACGAAUGUGCACCCAGAGCCUCGGGACGGGCGCCUGAGCCCGGGCGGCCCAGACAGAGGGCUGCGGGGCUCAGCCAGUGACGGGCCACGGGAUGGGGGCCUGGAAGAGGGACAGCCCCAGGCCCAAAGGAGCCGCGCUCCCAUUUCUCUCCGGUCAUGGCCACGGCUGGCUGACGGGCCCGAGGCUUCCGGACGCUCCCAAGAAGACCACGGCCACCUCGUGGGCCCCCGUGGAGGGGCUGGGGGGCUCCGUCUCCCCCGGGAGCUACUCUCAGCCAUGCGGAAGCUCCGGCCUCUCCCUGGCCAGCCUAUGGCCCGAGCAGGUCCCGCCUUGCGCCAUCUCCCGCAGGGACAGGAUCUGGUUAAUCCCCACGUGCGGGACGAGGGGACCGCCGGACGGCUCGGUUUGUAACGCUGGUAGAAACCCCUUUGAAGGGCAAGAAUAAUCACCCCUGCCAACGGCAGCGCCCCAGUAAACCCAGAGCCCAGCGAGGCCUCCAGGCCUUAACACGCACGUUCUUCCCGGCCCCAGGCCAGCGUCCCCCAGGACCCCAUCCUGCCCCUCGCAAGCCGGUGGGGAGGCCCGGGGGGCCCGUCCCUACACUGGCUUAGCCCAGGCGCCUGGAGGCCCCGCGGGGCUCCUGGUCCCUGCAUCUCCAGACACCCCGUCC